UGAAUAUGCUGGUGCCUUGAUCUUGGAUUUCCUAUUCUCCAGAGUUGGCAUUGGCGUGAAAAGAAUGGAAACAUCAAAAGGAAAACGGACAACUUUCAUGAACAAAGUAGAAUUCCUUGGAAAUGUGGAGCAGGUUGACAUUAUGUGGGUCAGUUCAGAAAUAAGGAGGAUCCUUCUUUAAAAGAUUUCUGGGGAUUGGGCACCAAGAUGGCCGAAUAGGAGCAGCUCCAGCAUCCAGCUCCCAGUGUGAGUGACAGAGAAGACGGGUGAUUUCUGCAUUUCCAACUGAGGUACCAGGUUCAUCUCAAUGGGGUAUGUCCAACAGUCAGUGCAGGACAGUGGGUGCAGCCCAGUGAACGAGAGCUGAAGCAGGGCGAGGCAUUGCCUC